rnacentral:piRNA from 1 species
UGAGUGAGUCCAGUAAGUGUUCAGAACCUA